CUAAGUGCUCGUCGUAGUACAUGCAAGUCGAACGAACUCUGGUAUUGAUUGGUGCUUGCAUCAUGAUUUACAUUUGAGUGAGUGGCGAACUGGUGAGUAACACGUGGGAAACCUGCCCAGAAGCGGGGGAUAACACCUGGAAACAGAUGCUAAUACCGCAUAACAACUUGGACCGCAUGGUCCGAGCUUGAAAGAUGGCUUCGGCUAUCACUUUUGGAUGGUCCCGCGGCGUAUUAGCUAGAUGGUGGGGUAACGGCUCACCAUGGCAAUGAUACGUAGCCGACCUGAGAGGGUAAUCGGCCACAUUGGGACUGAGACACGGCCCAAACUCCUACGGGAGGCAGCAGUAGGGAAUCUUCCACAAUGGACGAAAGUCUGAUGGAGCAACGCCGCGUGAGUGAAGAAGGGUUUCGGCUCGUAAAACUCUGUUGUUAAAGAAGAACAUAUCUGAGAGUAACUGUUCAGGUAUUGACGGUAUUUAACCAGAAAGCCACGGCUAACUACGUGCCAGCAGCCGCGGUAAUACGUAGGUGGCAAGCGUUGUCCGGAUUUAUUGGGCGUAAAGCGAGCGCAGGCGGUUUUUUAAGUCUGAUGUGAAAGCCUUCGGCUCAACCGAAGAAGUGCAUCGGAAACUGGGAAACUUGAGUGCAGAAGAGGACAGUGGAACUCCAUGUGUAGCGGUGAAAUGCGUAGAUAUAUGGAAGAACACCAGUGGCGAAGGCGGCUGUCUGGUCUGUAACUGACGCUGAGGCUCGAAAGUAUGGGUAGCAAACAGGAUUAGAUACCCUGGUAGUCCAUACCGUAAACGAUGAAUGCUAAGUGUUUGGAGGGUUUCCGCCCUUCAGUGCUGCAGCUAACGCAUUAAGCAUUCCGCCUGGGGAGUACGGCCGCAAGGCUGAAACUCAAAGGAAUUGACGGGGGCCCGCACAAGCGGUGGAGCAUGUGGUUUAAUUCGAAGCUACGCGAAGAACCUUACCAGGUCUUGACAUACUAUGCAAAUCUAAGAGAUUAGACGUUCCCUUCGGGGACAUGGAUACAGGUGGUGCAUGGUUGUCGUCAGCUCGUGUCGUGAGAUGUUGGGUUAAGUCCCGCAACGAGCGCAACCCUUAUUAUCAGUUGCCAGCAUUAAGUUGGGCACUCUGGUGAGACUGCCGGUGACAAACCGGAGGAAGGUGGGGAUGACGUCAAAUCAUCAUGCCCCUUAUGACCUGGGGUACCCACGUGCUACAAUGGAUGGUACAACGAGUUGCGAACUCCCGAGAGUAAGCUAAUCUCUUAAAGCCAUUCUCAGUUCGGAUUGUAGGCUGCAACUCGCCUACAUGAAGUCGGAAUCCCUAGAAUCCCGGACCACCCUGCCGCGGGGAAAACUUUCCCGGGCUUGUAACCACCGCCCUCACCCCCGGAAAGUUUUUAACCCCAAUCCCGGGGGGUACUUUUUAGAACAACCCUUCAAAGUGGGGCAAAGAAUAAGGGGAACUUACCAAUGGGCCGCGGAAAUCGGGCCCUACUCUAGGCCCCCGUUAAGGAAUUGUUUUAAGGGGAAAGGCGGAA
rnacentral:rRNA from 1 species